UACAUGUGGGGCAAGCGUUGUUCGGAAUUACUGGGCGUAAAGGGCUCGUAGGCGGCCAACUAAGUCAGACGUGAAAUCCCUCGGCUUAACCGGGGAACUGCGUCUGAUACUGGAUGGCUUGAGGUUGGGAGAGGGAUGCGGAAUUCCAGGUGUAGCGGUGAAAUGCGUAGAUAUCUGGAGGAACACCGGUGGCGAAGGCGGCAUCCUGGACCAAUUCUGACGCUGAGGAGCGAAAGCCAGGGGAGCAAACGGG
rnacentral:rRNA from 1 species